AUACAUGGUUUCUUCUCUGUUGCCCAGGCUGGAGUGCAGUGGCACCAUCAUAGCUCACUGCAACCUCAAACUCCUGCCCUCAAGUGGUCCUAUCGUCUCACCUUCCCAAAAUGCUAAAAUUACAGACCCAGCAACUCUUCAACCCCCCUUCGGAAGUAGCAACUUAGCUGUACCUGACUGCCACUUUAAAACUACUAUUUUUUGACAUUAGGAAUUGAAAAUAAUUGUGAAUGCACCCAUUCUUGGAAAACCAGGCAAGAGGUUUCCCUGGACCCUUGAAGCAUGAGAAGAGAUCUAUGAAAGGCUAAAUUACUGUUGCUAGCAAAGGAAGGCUCACAUGGGUGAAGCUGUGAUCAGAAGCAUAAGAUCCCUGGGCUGCACUAUGGAUCAGGGUCAACAAAGGUACAGCCUUGUAUUUCUAAUGCAAAACAACGCUAACCUGGAGAAAUUAUAUAGAAGAAAUUCUUGAAUUCAUCCAUCCACACUUCUGCAAGUCGUCUGUUAUUUUUAUUGAUAAUCUGCCCUGUGCCUCCUGGAAACGUGUAAGGUGUAGCUUUCCGAAACACAUGUCCAACAUGUGAGCAUGUAACAAUUUCCAAAGUUCCUCCACACUGCCAAAUCUGAAAACAGCAGAGAUGACCAUGUAACAUGUAGCUGAGUAAUCAGGAAAUGUUCACCUUAGUUUUCCCAUAGUAUUUUUCUUUUCAAUUAAAUAGGGGUUUGGCUUUUGUUUAAACUUAAAUGGAACAUAUUGUAGUUACUGGUAAAAAGCUUCCAAAGUACCUCCAUACUACCAAAUCUGAAAAUAACAGCAAAGACCAUAUAUGACAUUGAUAGUUUUUAAAAAAGUAUUGACAUCUAUUGGGUUCCACAGUUGGAAUUUCACAAAAUCAGGGGCACAUGAUGGGCUCCGGCUGUACGGUUAGGUUACAAAGCCAGUGCUUCCUCAAGAGAAACAUUUCUCUAAUUUGGGUUCUGAUCAAACCAAAAGUUGAAGAUUUAAAUAAAGAAAACAUAGGUUAAAGGCUAAAUACAGAAAAGAUAUGGGAUCUAGAGCAGUAUUUUUCUAACUGCAGGCCAUUAUACCUAAGAGAAUCAUAAAUUCAAAUUGAUGACUUGCAACCUGUACUUGUUAACAAGGACAUACUGUUUCAUAAAAUGUUUAAAUUUUAUGUUUUGUGUGUGCAGAAUGUAUAAUGUAUUUAUUAAUGUGGCUCAUGGUUAAAAACAACCACCAAACAAAACCUGACCAUGGAGUAACCAGCCAGAUGCUCAUCUGUUCACCCCUCUCCAAACCUGCGUCACGGCUUGUACAUGAAACAGAAUCUAGGAAUCUCAACUAGAUCCAUUGGUAUCACUCUGUCACCACCCAGGCUGGAAUGCAGUAGUGCAAUCAGGGGCCACUGCAGCCUUGACCUCCUCAAGUGAUCUUCCCACCUCAGCUUCCUGAGUAGCUGGGACCACGGCUGGGAUCACAUAACACCACACUCAACU